ACUGGCGAGGGGAAUUAGUUACAUUACCAUGCAAGUUUUCAGCAUACGACUAUACUGGUGUUGGAUACUUUUAUCCGGCAGAUCUUGCCUUCCACGUCAAUGGGCGUGGCAGAAAAGGCGACAAUAUGAUGGUUUUCAAACAUUUAGAUCAAAAUGGUGAUGGCAGGGUCACAGAAAGUGAGUUUGAUAAUACAAAGAAACAUCUUCUAAUUGACCAAGAAACCUGUUAAACAUUUGAUGUAAUUGGAAAAGAACAACGCUCGAUACACCUUAAAUACGUUUGACAGUUGAUAAAAGUGUUAUUCUUAUUUUUCACGUUAAUUAUAUAUUAUAAUUAGCUGGAAAAUGUUUUUGCAAAAUAAAUUAUGCAUCAUUCAGAA